rnacentral:tRNA from 1 species
GCCUGUCUGGCUCAGUUUGUGGAGCAUGGGACUCUUGAUCUCAGGGCUAUGAGUUCGAGCCCCCUGUUGGGUA